GUGGGAUAAAGGAUAUACGAGGUCCCAAAAUUGAUUGUAACCAUUCUUCAACUUUGUCAGCUGAGCUAUUUUUCUUGGCAGUUGAUUUUCAUGAAUGGCAUAUUC
rfam:Corchorus capsularis cultivar CVL-1 contig10051, whole genome shotgun sequence.